UUCCAACACUAUAAAAGAAAUUAAAAUAUGAAUGGAAUUAUAACUUCAUUUGAUGUCUACAGCACUCUCUAGUGCCACAGAGUAAUGGUCUUAAAAAUGUUUCCGUAAUACACAAGCAGAGAUGGAGGUUACUUGGGUAUUGCUAAGAAGCCAAUCCCAGCCUUUUAUUGUUUCUGUAUAUAUAUUUAAAACAUCUGCACACAAAAUGCUUAUGUUAAAUUUAAUAUGGCCAAAAUAAGAACUUGUCAUCUCUCUGAUCAACUCUGCACACAGCUUCACAUAAACCGUACUCCAAAAAUAUUGUAACUUUAUACAAAUGUGUUGUGCAGACACAUUUGGUAACUUUUUCACAGUGUACUGACAGCAAAAUUUCCUGCUUUUUUGCAUAGCUUGAAAAAUUUGGAAGAAAUAUUAUUAGAAUUCAGGAAUCUAAGAGGAAGUUAAAAAUAUCUAUCCUUACUAAUGUAGUCUUUAGCUUUGGAAAAACUUCUGUGGUUGUUUUACUUCCCUGCCCCUCAAACUUUUUCCAGAACCCACUCCAUAACUAUCCUGCUGUCUGAAUAAUUAAGGCCAUCUUACCCCAGACAGAGGGGAACAACAUUGUUAUAGUGACUUCAUUGUACCCCAUGGGCAGAUGAAUGGGAGCAAGCUGUAACAUUAUAACUUAUCAUUUCAAUGCAAUUUACUGAGAUAGAGCUGAUUUCUUUUAAAAGAAAUAAUGUGGAGUAUUUCAAUUUUAUCAGUCAUGCCUUCUGGAAGUACUGCUCUUUUCUCAGGGUUUCCUUUUUCUUCUCUUCUGUCACUGUAACCUAAAUGACCUGUAUUUUUUGUGCAACGCAUUGGUUCUAACGUCAGAAGUGUGCUGAGCAUUGUAAUUCCAGUGCCAGUGCUCAGUGGGAGCUGGGGAGUCUUGGCAGAUCUUGUCACAGGCCUAUUAUGAUGCUUAACAUAUAGCUGUAGACUGUGAACUUCAGUGUGUUGGGUUUUUUUUGAUAGCAAACCACUGUUGAAGCAUAGGUAUGCAGUCACUGUGGUGGUCCUUCCAUCCACAGGAAGAAAAAAAAAGGCUGCUAGAUUUAGUGUCAUAAAAUCUUUGACCAUCUCUGUAGGAAGGACAGUAGAUAGCAGUGUAACUGCAAAGAGUUUAGGUCUGUUUCAGCUCAGACAGCUUUGAUGUUUGUAUAGACUGCACACCAAAUAUGCAAAAAGGCAGUGAAUAUAAGAUAGCAGGAAGAUGCUUUUCUUUCCUCCUUGUAUUUAAUCUGUUUGGCCUUCAGAAUAUCAGAAUUCAUCAUUCCAAAUAGCAAAUGAGGCAGUGAUUACAUCUUAACAUUACUGAAGAUGGAGGCUAGUCCUCAAGAUCUAACACAGAAAUGUUAACAACUCAGAAUAAAAGUAAUAAUGCUUCGUUCUUCUCUUUUAGAUUAAAAUGCAUUUGCCUGAGGUCCCCCCAUAUGUUGAGGAAGAAUUAGGAGUCUCAGAGAGUAAUUUACUCAUUUAUGACCUGAACUACUCUCCAGAGGUGGCUUUCUCAAUAAUUGAUCUCAGGUGACUGCAGCUCUGACUUAACUUCAGUUAAGUGCCUAUAGAUAGGUGAAAACAAUUUGGACCUUUUUCUUGCUCACCAAGUAACAUUUCUGCAAUCUCACUGCUGUGGACCACACACAAAACAGAAAUUAUAACCAAUACAAUGUAAUAUUUUCUUGCACAAUUAUUCAUUUAUCAUUUCCUGUAGAGAUAAAAUCAGUGGCUGUCACUUGUACCACAUGCUUGUUUACAUCAGGAUUUGAGUAAAAAUAUCAAUCUCUGUACCAUAUCUAUUGAAAGCAAAAAGGAAGAGCAAUGAACUCAAGUACAAAACUUCAGGUUUCCAUUUUUUUUGGUCCAUGUGCAUGCCAAGUCCACAGUGGCUGAAGAGUUUUGCCAUCCAGUGAGUUAAAUGAAAGUGUGCAGUAGCCACAGCCAAAUCCCUAAUGAGGAAGAUUUGGACAAAGCCCCAGAGCAGUACAAGUAAUUAAUGAGAAGGUAAAAAGAGCCCCUUGCAGCUCUGAACUGGCUUCUGUCCCUCUGCCAGCAAAGGAGUCUGGGGAUUUCCUUUAGCACUGUUGUCCUUUUGCUGUUGUUUCCCACAGCAGAUACUUAGACACAUUUCCCUGGCACUAUGUGAGAAACCAAAAUAAAUAAAUUAAAAAAAGGAGAAUCUUAUUAAACAGUCCCCUGUGGCCUGGCCACAGUCAGACAUAAUUAUGGGGACAGGCAGGACUACACUGAGCUGAAAAACAAUCAUUGAACUAAAUAAUAAAUCUUUGGACUUUUCAUGCCUUAAUAAUUUAAUGAGCACAUGAGACACUUUUAGUGAUGGGAAAACAGAAACAAAAACUCCAGUCAAAUAAGCCUAGCCAGUGCCAAUUCUCCAGUGUGAGGCAGCUGUAAAUGUGGUUAACCAUCUUUCUUGAGUGCCCUUUCAAACACACGUGCCUGCCACCAUAGCUUCCAUGCCAUCCACUGCCAAAUGAAAUCCUGGAAUAUGAAAGAGGUACUGUUGGCAUCUCUCCCUCCUGCUGGAUUAAGUAUGAAUGAUAUUUGUAGGAUAGAUACAACAAAAGGCAUCUCUGCUACAAUAGCACUAGUCAGAUGGGGUAUCCAUUAUUACAAAAGAACAGGGGAAAAAAGGGCCUAGGGUAUGAUAUGAUAGUGCUGUGCCCAGCCCACUAUCUUAUAUCCCUCUUACUCUGUUCCUAAUGGACAUUUUCUCCAUUGGCUAUUUGCUUGUCUGUUUAUAAGAAAAAAGCUGAAAUAACAAACAAUCCACCAUUCCCACUGUCAUUGUUCACUGUAUUCAUCCAUGUUCCAUGUCUCAGACACCCUCCAUACUGUACAGAUCAUCAUACUGUAUUCUUCAGUCAGGGCGGUAUUAUAAGAGUGUAGCAUGCCCCACUCAACUGCAACCUGUACCUGACCUGUCGACGACUACAGAAUUUGCUGUUGAUGGGGUUCUCAGAAGGCCAGGAUGAGUGCAAGUGAAUCCACAGAAGGAUCAGGAUACAACUAGGAGGGAUCUUCCAGAGCUCUUUGCAAUGCAGCAUUUCCAGGAGAAACAGUUCUCAGUACUGCAUUAAGCACAUAUCCAAUACUAAAUCUGUAAUGGCCAAAUACACUGGAUCUACUUAAUUAGAGCUCCUGUAUUUCCUCUAGCAUACCAGUAGGUAGGCAGCCAACAUACUGUCACCUCACUUCAAGAUGUAGUGCCUCUCAAAUUUGAUACUCUCUGGGAGUGAUGUUACUAUGUUGGUCAGUUAGUUCUGGGAGAGGUGGUCACCACUGUCACUGGAGUGCCUUUCCUGGGGGACACGGCUUCCUGGAGGAACCCAGGUCAACAAGGUGGUGAGUAAAUGCUGAAGAGAUUCGAAACUGAAUGGUGAGGUGGCCAAGGCGGCGCUGGCAAACGAAGACUGUCCCCACAUAGACCAGGCUAUUACGCCUGAUGAGGGCCUGCCCUUUACCCGCUCUGGCACUCGGGAGAGAUAUGGACCCUGCUUCCUCUUAUCAACCGGGGAAUAUCCCUGCCCGCCUGAUGGAGGAAUAAGAAAGGGUUACGAAAUGUCACGGAGCCUUAACAGCAUAGCUGGCAUAAGUGGAAAAGCGAUAGGAUUAUCCUCAGUGUCUGCGCCCUACAGCUCUCCUAGUCCAGUGAGACGUUCUUGGUCUCCCAUCCCAUCUAUUUUGUAGCAUGGAUCAGUAGCAGAGAAUGGUCUAAAAAGCUUUAUUUUCAAUUAGCCUAUGCUAUGUUGCAUAUAAUCCAGGUGACUAAGUCUGAAGAUGCAAUGUCUCACAGUAGCACCUGCUGGGAAUGGUGUUACUACUGAUGCUAGGUGACAACACUCCUAAAUUGCACUCAGAUGACAAUAGGCAGGCCAUUCACGUGGUACUGGUGGGCCAUAAUGUGCUGCAUGGUAUCAGUACAUAGGAUGAAGGGUAGAUGCACCAGAUAGCUUCCUUCCUGGUGCAUCGUGCUAGUCUAUGCUUAUUGUGGCUAAUGGCGGAUCUACUGGCUCGGUAUGGAAUGGGUUAGGCAUAUAGUCGAUGCUGAAACAUGCCAACGAUGGAAGAUUUUGCUUUUCUCAGGAUAUUUUUGAGCCAUAGGAACCCUGCAGGAGUUUGAGCAAACAAGCACAGUAGGAUGAAACUUUGCAUGGGCGCCUAUCUUAAGCUGAAAGCAAUACUCAGACACACUGUAGAGAGGUCUCAGUCUGGCUGACUGCAUGGAAAAAAAACCCUGUUGAAGAAGAAUAUGGCUGCCUCUGCAUGUAGCUAUUUCACCUUUUCCUCCUUCCUUUAAAACUAAGAUGCCGAGCUUGAUGUGAAAAGCACAGGGAAGAAGCUCAAGUACUGAUUGUAUUCUUUACAUGCAGAUCUUUGCAAAGAAAGUCCAGUCAUUGCUAAAUAUAUGCCAACAGAGGCAGUCAGAGUGACCUGACAAGGCAAGAUGGAGAUGAACAUUGAUGGCUAAUAAACAUCUGUGUGGAACUGUGCAGGCAUAGAAGACUUUCUCAUUUGGACAAAGUUAACUCGCUCCAUGCAGUUUUAUGGAUGAUUCUUCGUGGUUUUGGAGUUGUACUAGAGAUGCAGGCUUUUUCUACGGCCAAAACGUAACAAAACUGUAGAAGAUCUCUUUUUUUUUUUU